rnacentral:rRNA from 1 species
UACGGAGGAUCCAAGCGUUAUCCGGAAUCAUUGGGUUUAAAGGGUCCGUAGGCGGUUUGGUAAGUCAGUGGUGAAAGCCCAUCGCUCAACGGUGGAACGGCCAUUGAUACUGCAAGACUUGAAUUAUUAGGAAGUAACUAGAAUAUGUAGUGUAGCGGUGAAAUGCUUAGAGAUUACAUGGAAUACCAAUUGCGAAGGCAGGUUACUACUAAUGGAUUGACGCUGAUGGACGAAAGCGUGGGGAGCGAACAGG